GAUAGAACCUUACUACCUGGAUACCGUGGUAAUUCUAGAGGUAAUACAUGCUAAAAACCCCGACUUCGGAAGGGGUGUAUUUAUUAGAUAAAAAACCAAUGACCUCCGGGGGUCCUUGGUGAUUCAUAAUAACUUAACGAAUCGCAUGGCCUUGUGCCGGCGAUGGUUCAUUCAAAUUUCUUCCCUAUCAACUUUCGAUGGUAGGAUAGUGGCCUACCAUGGUUUCAACGGGUAACGGGGAAUUAGGGUUCUAUUCCGGAGAGGGAGCCUGAGAAACGGCUACCACAUCCAAGGAAGGCAGCAGGCGCGCAAAUUACCCAAUCCCGACACGGGGAGGUAGUGACAAUAAAUACUGAUACAGGGCUCUUUUGGGUCUUGUAAUUGGAAUGAGUACAAUUUAAAUCCCUUAACGAGGAACAAUUGGAGGGCAAGUCUGGUGCCAGCAGCCGCGGUAAUUCCAGCUCCAAUAGCGUAUAUUAAAGUUGUUGCAGUUAAAAAGCUCGUAGUUGAACCUUGGGCCUGGCUGGCCGGUCCGCCUCACCGCGUGCACUGGUUCGGCCGGGCCUUUCCUUCUGGGGAGCCGCAUGCCCUUCAUUGGGUGUGUCGGGGAACCAGGACUUUUACUUUGAAAAAAUUAGAGUGUUCAAAGCAGGCCUAUGCUCGAAUACAUUAGCAUGGAAUAAUAGAAUAUG
rnacentral:rRNA from 1 species